rnacentral:rRNA from 2 species
GGGUUGUGAGGUUAAGCGACUAAGCGUACACGGUGGAUGCCCUGGCAGUCAGAGGCGAUGAAGGACGUGCUAAUCUGCGAAAAGCGUCGGUAAGGUGAUAUGAACCGUUAUAACCGGCGAUGUCCGAAUGGGGAAACCCAGUGCAAUUCGUUGCACUAUCGUUAACUGAAUACAUAGGUUAACGAGGCGAACCGGGGGAACUGAAACAUCUAAGUACCCCGAGGAAAAGAAAUCAACCGAGAUUCCCCCAGUAGCGGCGAGCGAACGGGGAGCAGCCCAGAGUCUGAAUCAGCUUGUGUGUUAGUGGAACGGUCUGGAAAGUCCGACGGUACAGGGUGAUAGUCCCGUACACCAAAAUGCACAGGCUGUGAACUCGAAGAGUAGGGCGGGACACGUGGUAUCCUGUCUGAAUAUGGGGGGACCAUCCUCCAAGGCUAAAUACUCCUGACUGACCGAUAGUGAACCAGUACCGUGAGGGAAAGGCGAAAAGAACCCCGGCGAGGGGAGUGAAAAAGAACCUGAAACCGUGUACGUACAAGCAGUGGGAGCACCUUCGGGUGUGACUGCGUACCUUUUGUAUAAUGGGUCAGCGACUUAUAUUCUGUAGCAAGGUUAACCGUAUAGGGGAGCCGCAGGGAAACCGAGUCUUAACUGGGCGUUAAGUUGCAGGGUAUAGACCCGAAACCCGGUGAUCUAGCCAUGGGCAGGUUGAAGGUUGGGUAACACUAACUGGAGGACCGAACCGACUAAUGUUGAAAAAUUAGCGGAUGACUUGUGGCUGGGGGUGAAAGGCCAAUCAAACCGGGAGAUAGCUGGUUCUCCCCGAAAGCUAUUUAGGUAGCGCCUCGUGAACUCAUCUUCGGGGGUAGAGCACUGUUUCGGCUAGGGGGUCAUCCCGACUUACCAACCCGAUGCAAACUACGAAUACCGAAGAAUGUUAUCACGGGAGACACACGGCGGGUGCUAACGUCCGUCGUGAAGAGGGAAACAACCCAGACCGCCAGCUAAGGUCCCAAAGUCAUGGUUAAGUGGGAAACGAUGUGGGAAGGCACAGACAGCCAGGAUGUUGGCUUAGAAGCAGCCAUCAUUUAAAGAAAGCGUAAUAGCUCACUGGUCGAGUCGGCCUGCGCGGAAGAUGUAACGGGGCUAAACCAUGCACCGAAGCUGCGGCAGCGACACUAUGUGUUGUUGGGUAGGGGAGCGUUCUGUAAGCCUGCGAAGGUGUGCUGUGAGGCAUGCUGGAGGUAUCAGAAGUGCGAAUGCUGACAUAAGUAACGAUAAAGCGGGUGAAAAGCCCGCUCGCCGGAAGACCAAGGGUUCCUGUCCAACGUUAAUCGGGGCAGGGUGAGUCGACCCCUAAGGCGAGGCCGAAAGGCGUAGUCGAUGGGAAACAGGUUAAUAUUCCUGUACUUGGUGUUACUGCGAAGGGGGGACGGAGAAGGCUAUGUUAGCCGGGCGACGGUUGUCCCGGUUUAAGCAUGUAGGCUGAUUGUCCAGGCAAAUCCGGAUAAUCAAGGCUGAGGUGUGAUGACGAGGCACUACGGUGCUGAAGUAACAAAUGCCCUGCUUCCAGGAAAAGCCUCUAAGCAUCAGGUAACAUCAAAUCGUACCCCAAACCGACACAGGUGGUCAGGUAGAGAAUACCAAGGCGCUUGAGAGAACUCGGGUGAAGGAACUAGGCAAAAUGGUGCCGUAACUUCGGGAGAAGGCACGCUGGUGUGUAGGUGAAGUCCCUGCGGAUGGAGCUGAGACCAGUCGAAGAUACCAGCUGGCUGCAACUGUUUAUUAAAAACACAGCACUGUGCAAACACGAAAGUGGACGUAUACGGUGUGACGCCUGCCCGGUGCCGGAAGGUUAAUUGAUGGGGUUAUCCGUAAGGAGAAGCUCUUGAUCGAAGCCCCGGUAAACGGCGGCCGUAACUAUAACGGUCCUAAGGUAGCGAAAUUCCUUGUCGGGUAAGUUCCGACCUGCACGAAUGGCGUAAUGAUGGCCAGGCUGUCUCCACCCGAGACUCAGUGAAAUUGAACUCGCUGUGAAGAUGCAGUGUACCCGCGGCAAGACGGAAAGACCCCGUGAACCUUUACUAUAGCUUGACACUGAACAUUGAGCCUUGAUGUGUAGGAUAGGUGGGAGGCUUUGAAGCGUGGACGCCAGUCUGCGUGGAGCCAACCUUGAAAUACCACCCUUUAAUGUUUGAUGUUCUAACGUUGGCCCCUGACCGGGGUUGCGGACAGUGUCUGGUGGGUAGUUUGACUGGGGCGGUCUCCUCCCAAAGCGUAACGGAGGAGCACGAAGGUUAGCUAAUCCUGGUCGGACAUCAGGAGGUUAGUGCAAUGGCAUAAGCUAGCUUGACUGCGAGCGUGACGGCGCGAGCAGGUGCGAAAGCAGGUCAUAGUGAUCCGGUGGUUCUGAAUGGAAGGGCCAUCGCUCAACGGAUAAAAGGUACUCCGGGGAUAACAGGCUGAUACCGCCCAAGAGUUCAUAUCGACGGCGGUGUUUGGCACCUCGAUGUCGGCUCAUCACAUCCUGGGGCUGAAGUAGGUCCCAAGGGUAUGGCUGUUCGCCAUUUAAAGUGGUACGCGAGCUGGGUUUAGAACGUCGUGAGACAGUUCGGUCCCUAUCUGCCGUGGGCGCUGGAGAAUUGAGGGGGGCUGCUCCUAGUACGAGAGGACCGGAGUGGACGCAUCACUGGUGUUCGGGUUGUCAUGCCAAUGGCACUGCCCGGUAGCUAAAUGCGGAAGAGAUAAGUGCUGAAAGCAUCUAAGCACGAAACUUGCCCCGAGAUGAGUUCUCCCUGAGACUAUAAGUCUCCUGAAGGAACGUUAAAGACGAUGACGUUGAUAGGCCGGGUGUGUAAGCGCAGCGAUGCGUUGAGCUAACCGGUACUAAUGAACCGUGAGGCUUAACCUUACAACGCCGAAG